AAAAACUCAAAUAUUAUUAACUUAAUAAAAUCAUCCACUACAUAAUCAUUCAUUAUCUUUACAAUUAACCAUCUAAAGCUACCAGUUCUUCAAUCAUAGUAUAUAUCUACAUAUAUAGAGAGAGUACACUUCAUAAUUUCAUCCCUUGUCUUCUGUAAACGUAGCACAAAAAUUUGAUACCCAAUAUUGUAAGGCAGGUCGUAGAAGCAGUCUUCCUGCACAUAUGCACCAGAUUAUGCACUAGAUAAAUUAAACUUUACAUUAGAAGUCAAUUACAUGUUUAAUCAAUGUAUGUUUAAAUGUGUCUGGACAAUGUUUAACUAAAUCAGACAAACGCUUCCCAAUAGUGAAGACAGUAACUAUACUGCUUCUUGCUUUUGACAUUAAAGGAAGUCCCCAGGAAUCUAAUAGUCCCUCUCUAUUAUACUGUCCAAACUAAGCAUCCACUUUCAUCAUUCUUUUUCCCUACUUAAAUUAUUACUCAUUUACUAUAACAACUACACAGUAGUAGCAGCCAUAACUGUGUUUUCUGAACAUGCAAACAAAAAUUGUGAAGCUAUUACAUUUGCAUUACAAGUCUCCUUAUAAAUGAUAAAGACCCAUAGAGACAUGUAAUUCAAGCACAUUGUUAUAUUUACCUGUUCACCAACAACAUUCAAAAUAGGUACAAGGUUGACAUGUAUCAAGCAAAAAUUGCCAGCACCUGAAAUGGGAUAUUGAUGCACAAAAUUAGUUGCAAUAUGAGAUUACCUUAGCUUUCUUUUAACCUGAAAUAUAAAGUGAGCUAAGUCACAUGCAUAAUUUACCAACAUGGUAAGAGAAUUGUCCAAGAGCCUCGAUAAAUGGCAUUGAUUCAAUGUCCC
rnacentral:lncRNA from 1 species